CCUACGGGAUGCACCAGUAGGGAAUCUUCCACAAUGGACGCAAGUCUGAUGGAGCAACGCCGCGUGAGUGAAGAAGGUUUUCGGAUCGUAAAGCUCUGUUGUUGGUGAAGAAGGAUAGAGGUAGUAACUGGCCUUUAUUUGACGGUAAUCAACCAGAAAGUCACGGCUAACUACGUGCCAGCAGCCGCGGUAAUACGUAGGUGGCAAGCGUUGUCCGGAUUUAUUGGGCGUAAAGCGAGCGCAGGCGGAAGAAUAAGUCUGAUGUGAAAGCCCUCGGCUUAACCGAGGAACUGCAUCGGAAACUGUUUUUCUUGAGUGCAGAAGAGGAGAGUGGAACUCCAUGUGUAGCGGUGGAAUGCGUAGAUAUAUGGAAGAACACCAGUGGCGAAGGCGGCUCUCUGGUCUGCAACUGACGCUGAGGCUCGAAAGCAUGGGUAGCGAACAGGAUUAGAUACCCUAGUAGUC
rnacentral:rRNA from 1 species